rnacentral:rRNA from 1 species
CCCGCUGAACUUAAGCAUAUCAAUAAGCGCAGGAAAAGAAACCAACAGGGAUUGCCUCAGUAACGGCGAGUGAAGCGGCAACAGCUCAAAUUUGAAAUCUGGCCUCUCGGGGUCCGAGUUGUAAUUUGUAGAGGAUGUUUUGGGUACCGCCCCGGUUUAAAUUUCUUGGAACAGAAUGUCAAAGAGGGUGAGAAUCCCGUCUUGGACCGGCGGUAGGGCCUAUGUAAAACUCCUUCGACGAGUCGAGUUGUUUGGGAAUGCAGCUCAAAAUGGGUGGUAAAUUUCAUCUAAAGCUAAAUAUUGGCCAGAGACCGAUAGCGCACAAGUAGAGUGAUCGAAAGAUGAAAAGCACUUUGAAAAGAGAGUUAAACAGUAUGUGAAAUUGUUGAAAGGGAAGCGCAUAUGACCAGACUUGGCCAGGUUAAUCAUCCAUCGUUCUCGGUGGUGCACUUUGCCUGGCCAGGCCAGCAUCAGUUCGCUUUGGGGGAUAAAGACUUUGGGAAUGUGGCUCCCUCGGGAGUGUUAUAGCCCAUUGUGUAAUACCCUGGAGUGGACUGAGGUUCGCGCAUCUGCAAGGAUGCUGGCGUAAUGGUCAUCUGCGACCCGUCUUGAAACACGG